GACGAACGCUGGCGGCGUGCUUAACACAUGCAAGUCGAACGGAAAGGCCCUGCUUUUGUGGGGUGCUCGAGUGGCGAACGGGUGAGUAACACGUGAGUAACCUUCCCUUGACUUUGGGAUAACUUCAGGAAACUGGUGCUAAUACCGGAUAGGAGCUCCUGCUUCAUGGUUUGGGUUGGUAAGUUUCGGCGGUUGGGUAUGGACUCGCGGCUUAUCAGCUUGUUGGUGGGGUAGUGGCUUACCAAGGCUUUGACGGGUAGCCGGCCUGAGAGGGUGACCGGCCACAUUGGGACUGAGAUACGGCCCAGACGACAACGGGAGGCAGCAGUGGGGAAUAUUGCACAAUGGGCGGAAGCCUGAUGCAGCAACGCCGCGUGCGGGAUGACGGCCUUCGGGUUGUAAACCGCUUUCGCCUGUGACGAAGCGUGAGUGACGGUAAUGGGUAAAGAAGCACCGGCUAACUACGUG
rnacentral:rRNA from 1 species